rnacentral:rRNA from 1 species
AGCGAACGCUGGCGGCAGGCCUAACACAUGCAAGUCGAACGAACCUUUCGGGGUUAGUGGCGGACGGGUGAGUAACACGUGGGAACGUGCCUUUAGGUUCGGAAUAACUCAGGGAAACUUGUGCUAAUACCGAAUGUGCCCUUCGGGGGAAAGAUUAAUCGCCUUUAGAGCGGCCCGCGUCUGAUUAGCUAGUUGUUUGAGGUAAUGGCUCACCAAGGCGACGAUCAGUAGCUGGUCUGAGAGGAUGAUCAGCCACAUUGGGACUGAGACACGGCCCAAACUCCUACGGGAGGCAGCAGUGGGGAAUCUUGCGCAAUGGGCGAAAGCCUGACGCAGCCAUGCCGCGUGAAUGAUGAAGGUCUUAGGAUUGUAAAAUUCUUUCACCGGGGACGAUAAUGACGGUACCCGGAGAAGAAGCCCCGGCUAACUUCGUG